GACGAACGCUGGCGGCGUGCUUAACACAUGCAAGUCGAACGGUGACGGAGAGCUUGCUCUCCCGAUCAGUGGCGAACGGGUGAGUAACACGUGGGCAACCUGCCCCAGACUUCGGGAUAACGCUUCGAAAGAGGUGCUAAUACCGGAUACGAACUCCUUGGGCAUCCUUGGAGUUGGAAAGUGUUUCGGUCUGGGAUGGGCCCGCGGCCUAUCAGCUUGUUGGUGAGGUAACGGCUCACCAAGGCGACGACGGGUAGCCGGCCUGAGAGGGCGACCGGCCACACUGGGACUGAGACACGGCCCAGACUCCUACGGGAGGCAGCAGUGGGGAAUAUUGCGCAAUGGGCGAAAGCCUGACGCAGCAACGCCGCGUGAGGGAUGACGGCCUUCGGGUUGUAAACCUCUUUCAGCAGGGAAGAAGCGAAAGUGACGGUACCUGCAGAAGAAGCACCGGCUAACUACGUGCCAGCAGCCGCCGUAAUAC
rnacentral:rRNA from 1 species